CCAUACACCCUUCGUCUCCAGAGCGCCGUCCUCGAGAGGCGAAUGAUGCGGCGGCGAAGGUCUUGCAAAGAUGAUGCGGGGAGCUAUCGCUCAAUCAGUGUGCUUGCUUAAAAUGCCGGCUUCUGAUCAUCUAGGGUGAUAAUUAGUUCGGACUGAUAAUUGGUUCGGCGAUACAUCCCCCCUCCAUGAUCCAGACUUGUGUAACCUCAUCCAUUCAUGCACCAGGAAGAGCAGAAUGAUCACAAGGCACUAGUGAAGAACCAACGCAUGGAUCAAAGAUAUUUGUCACAAGGCGUCUCCUCGAUGGGAGACACGGCCUAGGGUUACAACCAGAGAGCUGCACUCCAGAGGUAACUGUGAAGAUCUUCCAGAGGUCAUUCAGGAGCUGUUGCCACUCCCAAUCCGUGUCCUUAGCUUGUUCCAAUGUUGGGCAUGUGAUUCAUCAUUUACUUGGGGUUCGUUGGCUCUCGCAGUUGCAGGCAUCUGCUACCCCUACCGGAUGAAUCCGUACGUGUUGCUUUGAAACUUCGCUUGUUGUAUGAUGAUUUUGCUAAACUAAGGGUAGUUAGGUUCUAUAUUUAGUAUGCUUUUGUAGUUUGGAUUGUUAAGAGUAUAAUAGUCAAUGGUAGUAUUGUAAUAUCCUGGUGUCUAGGUUUUGAAUGCUCUCAUGUAUAUGUAUCUCUAUUGGGCUAUUCGACAUGGAUACACAUUCUCAGUUCUUCUCCCUUCUAUCUAUUCGUAACA